GACAGAGGUGCCAAGCGUUAGGCGGAAUCACUGGGCUUAAAGCGUGUGUAGGCGGAUGUCUAAGUACCUUGUGAAAUCCCACGGCUCAACCGUGGAACUGCUUGGUAUACUGGAUGUCUUGAGCCAUCUAGGGGCUACCGGAACAAAUGGUGGAGCGGUGAAAUGCGUAGAUAUCAUUUGGAACGCCAAUGGUGAAAACAGGUAGCUGGGGAUGUGCUGACACUGAGACACGAAAGCCAGGGGAGCAAACGGG
rnacentral:rRNA from 1 species